rnacentral:rRNA from 1 species
GACGAACCGUACGAACGUUAUUCGGAAUUACUGGGCUUAAAGGGUGCGUAGGCUGCACGGAAAGUUGGGUGUGAAAGCCCUCAGCUCAACUGAGGAAUUGCAUCCAAAACUGCCGUGCUUGAGGGAGACAGAGGUGAGCGGAACUCAAGGUGGAGCGGUGAAAUGCGUUGAUAUCUUGAGGAACACCGGUGGCGAAGGCGGCUCACUGGGUCUCUUCUGACGCUGAGGCACGAAAGCUAAGGUAGCAAACGGG